GUUGAAUAUUUGUUAUUUUUAGAUACAUUUAAAGUGCUCCGCUGUUAAUAAAUAAAGCAAACAUUUGGUUAAGAAUAUACAUAUUUUCUUUAUCCAACAUCUUAAUUAUCCUAAAAAAUCUAAUGAAGUCCCAUAAUCCAGAUGUUAUAGUAAUCUGUACUAUAUUUGGUUAAUUUCGAAUACAUCUGUUAAUUAGGUGUAUCUUCGAUGUCUUAUCGAAGGUGAUUUGAAAUUCGAUUGUAAUUGAAUAGGCUGCUAGGGGAAAAUAGGCAUUACAAGAUUUCUAUCGUCAACGAACAAGCAAGGAUCAAUUGAAAAUAGAGAGACCAAUUUUAACAUAUGAACAACAGGACAACAUGUUCUUAGUUUUUUAAGUUUUUGAAUUGAAUAUGAAAUGAUUUAAAAUUUCAUAAAUUUGUGUCAAAAAAUGUAUUAUAUACAUGUACCAAACAUUAAUAAUAUAAAAACCAUUGACGCAUUUAGAAUAUGUGAAAAUAUGUGGUGUCUUAAAAGUUCUGCCACGGCUUUCAAAUAUUAGUUUGUAUAUAUAUAAAUUUUUGAUAAAUUCUUAUACCCCACAUACCACAUUAAAAAAGAAGCAACAUGUAUGCUUGUUCUUGAAUGUAAUUACUUUAAAUAAGCUAGCCAAGAAAAAAAUAAAUAUUAAAUACAGCAUUUACAUAUCUUUUCUUAUUAUUUAGUAAAAAGGCUUGGAAUAUAAGUAUCUUAAGGUAACUUAUAUUGGAUAUUUUGACCAAUUUUAUAUAUUGUAGGUAUUUUGUCAGUUGGAUGAACCUGGUCGGAAAAUCAUGUAAUUUUAUUAUACAAAUCACACUAACAUAACGUAUACAUAUAUAACAAGAGAUAAUGCUAUAGUCGAGUUCCCCGACUAUCAGAUACCCGUUACCAAGCCAGUGCGAAUGCGAACACGAAAUUUAAUCAUUUUUCUAUGGUAUCUAUAUUAGGGAUAUUAAGGAAUAAAAUGAGAAAAUUGUUAAAUAAAUUAUCAAGAUUACAUACAUACUUUUCAAAGAAUCUAGUAUACCUUUUUACUCUACGGAGUAACAAUUAGAAACACUGUUACUUGGAAUAUAAUUUUUUUGUAAAUUAAAUUUUUACCGUUAGUCAUAGAUUAAAUGUGUAUACUUGAUUCGAUUAAAAAUAUAAAGUGGAUGUAUUCUUAUUUAAAAACACUAGCCGAGUAGAUUUGGUCAUGUCGGUCUGUCGCUUGGUACACUCUAACUUCCAUUCGUUAUGUUCGUAAAUGUCCAAUCAUAAAUGUAACCCCGCUAGGUAGAGCGUGUAGAAUUAGUCCAUUUAUAUCACGCUUUUUUACCUGAGUACCGAAUAUAUGAGAGAAAAACUCGGCUUUAGUGUUCUCUCUUGUUUUUACCUCGUUGUUUUUAAAGUAUGCUUACCAUGGCCAGAAUUCGUACAUAAUUAAUAUUACUUAUUUAUAUUUUUAUUUUUGGAUAUCGAUUUUUUUGUUUUCUAACGAGCUAGCGAAUUAAUUAGAGCUAUGGCAGCAGAGGCCUUCAGCUAAUGUUUUAUACCAUAUUUUACAUCUAGAUGGAUGGAAUAAUCUUGUUAAUGUUUCAUUAUAUUUGGUAGUACAGAUAUACGAUUUUAAUGUAUUUAAGGAUAUUUAAUUUGUUUGACGGUGUGGAAGUUAAAAGGAGCCCUAUUGGGUUGAUAUUGUUAAAAAUGUUGCUUCUAUGGUUUCUAAGAUGGAUACAGGUGGACAACAGGUGUUCCAGGUUGUCUGUUGGGUUUGGUCGUGGAAGUGCAUGUUCGAGUCUCUUAAGAAGAUUUUGGUUGGAUGUUUGAAACCAAGUUGAUGUUUUUGUGAUUUUUGUUAGGUAUUUCUUGUAGUAUUCGUUUUUUAAAUAUUUACGAAUGUACAUAUGUCCUGUGUGUUAAGGUUUUCAAUAGUUGUAAGUGGUUGGUUUGUUGCUUGGCAAUCACCGAGUUGAUUUCCUGGUAUUCCAACAAGUCCUAGUAUCCAAAGGAGUUUAAAUUUGGUAUUGAAUUUUUGUAGUAUGUGGCGAGCCUAAGAUGUGUAGUGAUCGCUGUUGUUUAGAUUUUUAAUUGCUUCAAAUGCGGAAAGUGAGUCUGAACAUAUGCAGAAUUUUCCUCUUUUAUUUUCGUGAGUUUCUACGGCCUCUAUAAUGGCUAUAAGCUCUGCUCUGCUUUGCAUUUUUCUAUUAUUCGGUCUUCUGCUUGUGCCUUUUAGAGGAUGUUUUCGGUUGGAGUUGUUCUGAAAGCACCAAGAGAGAUCCUGAAGGAUGUGUUGAUCAUCAUUUAGUUUUCUUAGUGUUGAUUUUGCGAAAAACCAUAGACAGUCGAUAGAUAUAGAUUUAAUAUUGCCACACUUUAUCUUUGUGUGUUCAAAUUAAUAUAUAUAAAAGUACACAGCUGUAAAAAACACGAUUUUUCAUAAACUAUCGAUCAUUGUCAUGGCCUAGUUCCAUUAUCAAAUGGUUUUGCAACAGAUGUGAUACUGAAAGUUUUUAAUCGUUUGUACAUCUGUUCUUGGCAGCACUUAUUGUUAUAAUAAAAACAAUAAUAGUAUUCGAAUAAUAUUCGGAAUAUCAUUUCGUGCUCCUUCUUCCUUUUUCAAUUAUUUUUUUUAUUUUGCAGAAACGAAAAAUUAUAUGAAAAAUUUUUGUUGUUAGGUUUGCCAAUAUUUGUGUCACCACUAGAUGCUCAAAACUCAAAUUUCAAAGAAUGCAAAUAUAUAUAUAUAUAUAUAUAUUGUAAAAAUUGCAUCAAAAUUUAUUAAAUGUGUGAGGCAGAUGCCAAACAAAAUAGUUGUUAUUUAGGAUCUUUAGGUAUUACUGAUAUCGACAUGUUCUUCCAAAUGUAUAAUAUAUACUGUUCCGAGAAUCGAUUUCUGUUCUGAUGCUGAUAAAAUAUAUAAUAACUAGAUAAACUGAAUCCUGGAAUAAACGAAAUCUUUCCUUCUCAUCAUUCUUAACGAUCUAGGUUGCUUUAUUGACACUUUUCGCUGUUCCAUAUUGGUAUAACAUAAGUGAAGGAAGCCAUCCCUAAAUGUGUACUGACACGACAUUUCGUAGGAUAAUUUUAAGAAGAACUUGUGUCGCUCCCUCUUUUUGCUUUUAAAAAUAAUUAAAGGGGGCCCACGUAUUAAAAUUUCCACCGUUCCACAAUUGUUACUAAGCAUGCGACGCUAUCUUCACGCACUUAGCCACACAUAACAAAAUGUUGGUUGGAAAAGUUCGUGACAUUACUAAGUUACUUUUCUAUAUGUAAAUAUAAUCCGAAGCUACGAAACCUGCCUUUCUCAACUAAUGAGUAGUGCAUCUAUUACUUUAUCUAUAUAUAUAUUUUUCUAAAACAUCGAAAACCGUCGUAAAAUGUUAUUGAUUAUAUGGACGAUUAAUGCCAAAACGUACAUGUUUGUAUGUACCGAUAAAAAACUACCGCUAUUUUAUUUUAUAACAACGCUCAAAGCAGUCCAUACUUCACACAUACUACCUGUGCACGUAGAUAUGGCUAUGUACAUACUUUUACUGAAAACAAUAAGCUUUAAGCUCUUGUGCAGUUCGGUCAUAACAUUAGAUUUUUACUUGCCUGGCACUAUCCUUCGGGGAAAACAGGUUAUUCUAACAGUACAAAUCGUCCAUAAACAUUGCCGUCAAGCAGUCAUGCAUAGUUUAUUUUCCUGAAGCACAACGAAAUCUUUCCAAAAAAAUAUGGUGCAAGUAGUAGUACGUUCCAAACCUGGACAUCUAAUAUACAUAUGUAUGUACAUAAAAAAUGUCGUAUGCUUAUACUUUCAACGAAUAUGUUUUGUAAAAUUUAAGGAUCGCUGCAGUAUUAUUCAAAGUAACAUUGAAAUGUCAACAAAGGGAUUGAAAUGUUAUAAAUUAUAUCCUCCAUACGCUCGUAAGAGCGAUAGCUGUCUUCAAUCGUAUGUCCUAUAACAUUUACAUUUAUGUACAUAUGUAUAUAUGUAUAUCUCGACCGUUAUAUAGGUCGCUAACCAUAGCAACUGCAAUUUCAUCAAUUGUCGGCGAAAUAUAUUACCCCGCAUGCCUUCCAAAUGGUAAUAUGAUUGUGUAAAAACGGUACUCAUACCCGAAAUUUUUCGGUACUUCAUCUGCUCGAUGUGGUUAUACUGCCAGUAAAACAUACGUUUUUUUGCUGUUUUUAUUAUUAUACAUGUUGCUCGUAGAGUAAGAGGGUAUACUGGAUUCGUUGAAAAGAAUGUAACAGCAGAAGAAAGCGUUUCCGACUGUAUAAAGUAUAUAUAUCCCUGAUCAGGAUCAAAGCCGAAUCGAUCUAGCCAUGUCUGCCUGUCCGUAUGAACGUCGAGAUCUAAGGAACUAUAAAAGCAAGAUGGUGGAGAUUAAGCAUACAGAUUCCAGAGGCAAAGACGCAGCGCACGCCCUCUCUAACGCCCACAAACCGCACAAAAUUGCCUCGCCCACAAGGGCGUCGCCUGGUCAGCAGCCAGGGGGGCAAUUAGUAGACUUCAUCUUCCAACACUGGAAACUCUUAGUAAAUGUACCUAUCAAACAGCUUAUGUAUGGGAAGCAGAUUGAUAGAAUUUGAGGCAGAUUGACUAAGAGAAUAAGAACAGUACAUAGUGUAGAUAAACAACGGGAAGUUACGUGAUAGGCAGCAAAUUAUGAAAUUUCUUGAACAUUCCUUUUAGGUCCAGGGGGUGGCAGCUGAGGCCAAGCAGGCCAAGCUGAGGCAAGCAGAAUUUCAAGAAACGGUACUUACGAAACUCAAAUGAUGAAAAGGAUAGAAACAGGUAGAGUAGGACGAUGCGUUGUUGUUGGUUUUGUACGUUUCUAUUCAGUUGCAUUUUCAAUUUUAAAUCGUCAAGUUCGUCAGUGUGUUCUUAGAAAUUUAGCGACGGCUUUGCGGUUUGUAUCUUGCAAGUAUGUAUUUAUUUAUAUAUAUAUUUAUAUUUCCAUCUUUGCAUCUAAUUAUUAUUUUUUUAUGUUACUAUUAUUUAGUAUUCCCAAUACAGUUGUACAGCUUGUUGUCUUGCAGAUGAUGGUCUUUCGUCUAUCAGGGUAUACAUAGAUAAGCAUAAUAAAUCAACACAGCUACUGAUACUGAAAUUUAUGGACUUAAAUUUAAGUAAAAUAAAAAAUGCAAUAUUUCUUAAA